AACGAACGCUGGCGGCAUGCCUAACACAUGCAAGUCGAACGAGAACUUCGGGUCUAGGGGCGCACGGGAGGGUAACGCGAGGGAACAUUCCCUUAGGGUGGGAAUAACUUCCCGAAAGGGGUGCUAAUACCGGAUAAUGUCUUAGGACCAAAGAUGUAUGGCCUUGGGAUGGGUCCGCGUGGGAUUAGCUAGUUGGUAGGGUAAAAGCCUACCAAGGCGGAGAUGCCUAGCUGGUCUGGGAGGAUGGUCAGCCACACUGGGACUGGGACACGGCCCAGACGCCGGGGGGAGGCAGCAGGGGGGAGGGUGGGACGGUGGGCGAGAGCCGGAGGCGGCGGUGCCGCGUGAGUGGGGAGGGCGGGAGGGUGGUGGGGGUGUGUGGCCCGGGAUGAUAAUGACGGUACCGGGGGAGUAAGCGCCGGCUAGCUCCGUG
rnacentral:rRNA from 1 species